rnacentral:lncRNA from 1 species
AUUCUCUUCUUUUUCUAUCUGUCCAACUCUUCUGUCUAUCCUGUGCUGCUUUGAAUCUUUCCUUGAUCAGAUAGAUUUUCUCUCUAGCAUCCAUCUAUUAUCAGUAAAAUCCUUCCUUAUUUACAACUAACGUAUUUCAUAAUAUCUUUUGAUUUAAAGGAUUAAUAUUUCUAAUCAAUUCAGACCAUCACGCUUUUGCUGCGCACUCUGAUCUCAACUUACCAAAUUAUCUAAGUCUAUCAAAAAUAUCUUUGUAUGUUAAAUCAAUCAAAGAUAGAUCCAACUUUCAGAUUUCAU